rnacentral:rRNA from 1 species
UACGUAGGUGGCGAGCGUUGUCCGGAUUUACUGGGCGUAAAGAGCGCGCAGGCGGUCGUACAAGUCGCGUGUGAAAGCCCCCGGCUUAACUGGGGAGGGUCACGCGAUACUGUUCGACUCGAGGGCAGGAGAGGGAAGCGGAAUUCCCGGUGUAGUGGUGAAAUGCGUAGAUAUCGGGAGGAACACCAGUGGCGAAGGCGGCUUCCUGGCCUGUUCUUGACGCUGAGGCGCGAAAGCUAGGGUAGCAAACGGG